UUCUCGAUUUAUACAUUCUCUUUGUAUUUCUCUGCAUAGAAAAUUUCCAAUCUAACCAUAAAGGAGCUUCUUUGGACGAUGGCAAACAUUUUCUCUCCCUUCUUUCAAGGCUUAAAGGGCUGCAAAAGCUGAGAAUGGAUAUAAAACUUGCUGCUCUAUCUUGAAUGUAUAGAUAUUGAAAGCUUUUUCCAAGGUUUUUUAAUUUUGUUGAGGGUGGAAGUUGUAUUCCUCUACCAGCAAAUUAAAUAUCCUACUUCUGAAAUUGAGGAGUUUUCAUCAACUAUU